rnacentral:rRNA from 1 species
UACAGAGGGUGCUAGCGUUGUUCGGAAUCAUUGGGCGUAAAGGGUGCGUAGGCGGCGCGGUAAGUCGGGUGUGAAAUCUCGGAGCUUAACUCCGAAACUGCAUUCGAUACUGCCGUGCUUGAGGACUGGAGAGGAGACUGGAAUUUACGGUGUAGCGGUGAAAUGCGUAGAUAUCGUAAGGAAGACCAGUGGCGAAGGCGGGUCUCUGGACAGUUCCUGACACUGAGGCACGAAGGCCAGGGGAGCAAACGGG